UACGUAGGGUGCGAGCGUUGUCCGGAAUUAUUGGGCGUAAAGAGCUCGUAGGCGGUCUGUCGCGUCGGCUGUGAAAACCUGGGGCUCAACUCCAGGCCUGCAGCCGAUACGGGCAGGCUAGAGUUCGGUAGGGGAGACUGGAAUUCCUGGUGUAGCGGUGAAAUGCGCAGAUAUCAGGAGGAACACCGGUGGCGAAGGCGGGUCUCUGGGCCGAUACUGACGCUGAGGAGCGAAAGCGUGGGGAGCGAACAGG
rnacentral:rRNA from 1 species